GACGAACGCUGGCGGCGUGCUUAACACAUGCAAGUCGAACGCUGAAGCCCGCUUGCGGGUGGAUGAGUGGCGAACGGGUGAGUAACACGUGAGUAACCUGCCCUUCACUUUGGGAUAACCUUCGGAAACGGGGGCUAAUACUGGAUAUGACUCAUGGCCGCAUGGUUGUGGGUGGAAAGAUUCUUUGGUGGGGGAUGGGCUCGCGGCCUAUCAGCUUGUUGUGGGGUGAUGGCCUACCAAGGCGACGACGGGUAGCCGGCCUGAGAGGGCGACCGGCCACACUGGGACUGAGACACGGCCCAGGACUCCUACGGGAGGCAGCAGUGGGGAAUAUUGCACAAUGGGCGCAAGCCUGAUGCAGUCGACGCCGC
rnacentral:rRNA from 1 species